AUCGCUUCUCGGCCUUUUGGCUAAGAUCAAGUGUAGAAAAACAAUUUGAAAUCUUUUGUGUGAUCUGAAAACACACCAAAUACCUACUGAUUUUUAAUGCUGUUUCUACAGGAUAUUUUCGAGGUCUUCCUCUUUUCCUUUUAAUAAUUAUUGGCUGAUCUUCC
rnacentral:snRNA from 1 species